rnacentral:rRNA from 2 species
AAAACAAUCUUGGAUUUGGCCUUUGUCUAUGUUCCUUGGAACAGGACGUCAUAGAGGGUGAGAAUCCCGUCUGAUGAGGUGUCCAUUUCUAUGUAAGAUGUUUUCGAAGAGUCGAGUUGUUUGGGAAUGCAGCUCAAAGUGGGUGGUAAAUUCCAUCUAAAGCUAAAUAUUGGCGAGAGACCGAUAGCGAACAAGUACUGUGAAGGAAAGAUGAAAAGAACUUUGAAAAGAGAGUGAAAAAGUACGUGAAAUUGUUGAAAGGGAAGGGUAUUUGAUCAGACUUGGUAUUUAGUUAUCAUUGCUCCUUGUGGGUGGUGCUCUAGCUUUUUACUGGGCCAGCAUCAGUUUUGGCGGCAAGAUAAUCGCAGUUGAAUGUAGCUCCUUGGAGUAUUAUAGCUUCUGUUGAUAUUGCCUGCUGAGACUGAGGUCUGCGGCUUUUGCCUAGGAUGCUGGCGUAAUGAUUAAAUACCGC